rnacentral:sRNA from 1 species
ACGUGAAUAGUUCAUCAAAAAUUUGGUCAUUGUCCUAACGCAGACAAUCUUGUCUGAUUGAUUUUAUAGGGACUAAACAUACAAUAUCGAAAUUGAAAAAGAAUUUUUCGACACAAAUCUUUCCCAAAAUUGUAUAUGUAGAUAAUUUAUAAAUUUGUUAUCACUAUCUUCUAAGAAAUCUGUCAACCAAAAAAGUAUGAUAUAAAAAAUCUGUCGUAUUUAAAAAAUUCUACUGAAUAAGAAUAAAUCUGGUAUAACUAAAUGAUAGACUUUUGUAAAAUCGCUAGAAAUUUUUUUAAAGAAUAUUUUGUAUUUAUUUU